rnacentral:lncRNA from 1 species
GCGGGGAAAGGGAAACCAUAGUGUGGAAAAUUACAGAGACAGUCCACAUGAUCACUACCGAGUAUAAAAAGUCCCGAGGUACCAGGAUGAGCUGCAAUUCAUUAAAGGAGCUGCUAGAGAUUGCACCUUGAAUUCCCUAGCUGCCUGGUGAGGGCUGCCUAUCCAAACUGGGGCACUACAGCUGACAGCUGCAGUCAGAUCCUGGAUUUCUGUAGAAAAAGCCUGUUUUCUGGUGGUUUUUAGCAGUGGGAGUACAUUUUGGAUUGAGACUUUGCAUCAGGGAAAGGAAAAGCCGCACUUCAAGAGCUCUAGAAGACCCAUUGUAACUUCACCAGCCUCUCAGGAGCUACUCCUGAUUUACACCAGUUCCACUGAGACCUACAUGAUGGGGACAUUCUGCUGCUAUGAAAUCCCAAGCCAGCUCAUCCCUUUCCUCCCAGUGGAUUCCUGUAUCUCCCCCUGUUUCCAGGAUGUUCUGUAUCUGAGCAUCUCCUGGCAACAGUCCCCUGGGAAGCGGCUGUGACAUGCUGCUGCUCAGCAUUUCAAUCAGCCUAGGCAAAGCACAUCCACCUGGAUCCCCAAACUGAUGAUGUUUGAAGCACCAACCAACCAUGGCCUGUUCCAGCCUGCAGAAAAGCCACUUGGGAACCACCAAAAACAGCACCCCAUAAAACAGCAUCAACCUUCUGCGCCAUCCCAUUGGAGAAGCAAGGCAGGUCGAUGUUCAAAUGGACACACGGGAGUGUCAAACUUCCUGGGAUGUUUCUGGUAGAGUCAGGGAGCAAAACAACAUUUUAGAUGGUGGCGGGGAAGUAUGGAGGCACCUUUCUCGCAACCCGGAGAAACUUUCCUUCCAGACCUUCCCACGCUGGACCAGACUCUCAGCCUGAGUAAGCUGGCUGAGCACCGCUGAAGUCAGUGAGUGGAACUGCAUUAAUUGACACCGAGGGUUUGGCUCUUGGAGUUUGUCUCUACUUUGCUUGCUGUCUGCAUUUCUUUCUUGGCCCACCUCGACUUGCCCUCCGCCCCGCUCAACACUAAAGC